UACGGAGGGUGCAAGCGUUGUUCGGAAUCAUUGGGCGUAAAGCGCGUGUAGGCGGCCGGGUAAGUCUGAUGUGAAAGCCCGGGGCUCAACCCCGGAAGUGCAUUGGAUACUGCCUGGCUAGAGGGCGAGAGAGGAAAGUGGAAUUCCUGGUGUAGGGGUGAAAUCCGUAGAUGUCAGGAGGAACAUCAGUGGCGAAGGCGACUUUCUGGCUCGUUACUGACGCUGAGACGCGAAAGCGUGGGGAGCAUACAGG
rnacentral:rRNA from 1 species